CGGGGUAUAGCGCAGUCUGGUAGCGCACCUGCUUUGGGAGCAGGGGGUCGCGGGUUCGAAUCCCCCUACCCCGACCA
rnacentral:tRNA from 1 species